UGGGGAAUAUUGGACAAUGGGCGAAAGCCUGAUCCAGCCAUGCCGCGUGUGUGAAGAAGGUCUUCGGAUUGUAAAGCACUUUAAGUUGGGAGGAAGGGCAUUAACCUAAUACGUUAGUGUUUUGACGUUACCGACAGAAUAAGCACCGGCUAACUCUGUGCCAGCAGCCGCGGUAAUACAGAGCGUGCAAGCGUUAAUCGGAAUUACUGGGCGUAAAGCGCGCGUAGGUGGUUUGUUAAGUUGGAUGUGAAAUCCCCGGGCUCAACCUGGGAACUGCAUUCAAAACUGACUGACUAGAGUAUGGUAGAGGGUGGUGGAAUUUCCUGUGUAGCGGUGAAAUGCGUGGAUAUAGGAAGGAACACCAGUGGCGAAGGCGACCACCUGGACUAAUACUGACACUGAGGUGCGAAAGCGUGGGGAGCAAACA
rnacentral:rRNA from 1 species